UUGCACGCUGGCGGCGUGCCUCAUACCUGCAAGUCGAGCGAACAGACGAGGAGCUUGCUCCUCUGACGUUAGCGGCGGACGGGUGAGUAACACGUGGAUAACCUACCUAUAAGACUGGGAUAACUUCGGGAAACCGGAGCUAAUACCGGAUAAUAUAUUGAACCGCAUGGUUCAAUAGUGAAAGACGGUUUUGCUGUCACUUAUAGAUGGAUCCGCGCCGCAUUAGCUAGUUGGUAAGGUAACGGCUUACCAAGGCAACGAUGCGUAGCCGACCUGAGAGGGUGAUCGGCCACACUGGAACUGAGACACGGUCCAGACUCCUACGGGAGGCAGCAGUAGGGAAUCUUCCGCAAUGGGCGAAAGCCUGACGGAGCAACGCCGCGUGAGUGAUGAAGGUCUUCGGAUCGUAAAACUCUGUUAUUAGGGAAGAACAAAUGUGUAAGUAACUAUGCACGUCUUGACGGUACCUAAUCAGAAAGCCACGGCUAACUACGUG
rnacentral:rRNA from 1 species